rnacentral:piRNA from 1 species
UGUGUGCAUACAAACUGGUGACCGUC